GGGCUCUUAGCUCAGCCGGUCAGAGCAGGGGACUCAUAAUCCCUUGGUCGUAGGUUCGAAUCCUACAGGGCCCACCA
rnacentral:tRNA from 1 species